rnacentral:lncRNA from 1 species
CUGCCCUAAGUGCCCGGAUCACGCCCACCGCGCAGGCGCCGUCCCGGGCUCUCGCUCUCUCCCCCCUCCCCCGCCUCUUCCUCCUGGCCCCUCCCACUCGCGAGCGGGCCCCGCUCAGGCCGGCCGAGGGGCAGGGGCAGGCUUGUUUACGGCCCGACUGCGCAGGCGUGCUCACCUGGCGCGCUCCGCCCGGCUGGGCGUCCGCAGGCCCCUCCCCCGGGUGCGGUCUCAAAGCGGCCACGUGGCAGUGCAGGUGAGGCGGCCUCCGGCCGGGGGUCGACCUAGCUCUGCCACCGCUUCCGCCUCCGCCUCCGUCUCCGCCUACCCGCCCCCCCCCGGGGGCAGAACCCGUAAGCCGAAGCCGCGGCAGGUCUGCGGUCUGCAUCACAGAGGUGAUCUUGAGGGGCCUCCUCACCCCUGAGGGGCCCCGGGACCCUGAGGAGCGGAGGGAGAGAGCCUUCCCCCCAUGCGGGGUGUGCACGUGGGGUGCCGAGUGCCGGAGCUCGGGCGUUCUGCCUUCGGGAGGAUGCGGGGGCGCCCCGAGGCUGGGGGGGGGCUCCUCACCCUGAGGGGCCCCGGGACCCCGAGGAGCGGAGGGAGAGAGCCGUCCCCCCAUGCGGGGUGUGCACGUGGGGUGCCGAGUGCCGGAGCUCGGGCGUUCUGCCUUCGGGAGGAUGCGGGGGCGCCCCGAGGCUGGGGGGGGGCUCCUCACCCUGAGGGGCCCCGGGACCCCGAGGAGCGGAGGGAGAGAGCCGUCCCCCCAUGCGGGGUGUGCACGUGGGGUGCCGAGUGCCGGAGCUCGGGCGUUCUGCCUUCGGGAGGAUGCGGGGGCGCCCCGAGGCUGGGGGGGGGCUCCUCACCCUGAGGGGCCCCGGGACCCCGAGGAGCGGAGGGAGAGAGCCGUCCCCCCAUGCGGGGUGUGCACGUGGGGUGCCGAGUGCCGGAGCUCGGGCGUUCUGCCUUCGGGAGGAUGCGGGGGCGCCCCGAGGCUGGGGGGGGGCUCCUCACCCUGAGGGGCCCCGGGACCCCGAGGAGCGGAGGGAGAGAGCCGUCCCCAUGCGGGGUGUGCACGUGGGGUGCCGAGUGCCGGAGCUCGGGCGUUCUGCCUUCGGGAGGAUGCGGGGGCGCCCCGAGGCUGGGGGGGGCUCCUCCCCCAGGCCUGCGUUCGGCCACCCGCACCACCGUCCGGGAGCCCCUCUGCGCCUCCCGGAGCCAGUUUCCGAGAAGGUACUGAGGGACCUCAGUUUCCCGCUUCGGCGUGUUUCUUUAGGCGGGGCCGGGGGCGAGCACUCUGUGCGUGUGUGCACACAGCGUCCGUCUUUGGAGGUCGGCUGUCUGGAUGCCUGUCGGUGGAGAGCAUUGGCUAAUGUGGACCAAAAUGAGAGCCCUUCAGGUCGGGCCCACCUGUCCCAUCAGCCUCUCUGGACUCAGCCUCCCGGGUUUGUCCACAACAGCCUCUGUCAGUGCUGCUCAAGGCGCCGGUCCACACGGAGAUGAGGAAACAGGCUUCAAGAGGAAGACCCUUGCCCCAAAAUCAGCAGAGGCAGAACAGAAGAGGGACAAAGAAGCAGACACGUCCUCUCCCUGGGGUUCUUAAAGGAGUGGGCUUUUCCAGGUAAGUGAAAGGGAAGGGCAUGGGCCAAGGUGUGAAGGAGCAGGAUGCUGGGGGGCAAGAGGGGACACUUUAUUGUGGGGUUUGGAGGUGAGGGGAGAAGCAGCAGGACCAGUUUUUGGAGAGCCUGGUGAGCCCAGCUCAGGACCCAAAAAUGACAGCAACCCCUUUCGUGGCAAGGUGGCCAGACCAAGGUGCUCAUUGCCUGGUCAACUGGCCACAUGGGCAGAAUCCUAACUGACCAGCAGAUGCCCCCUGCCUCAGUACAGACAAAAAGGAACUGUCAGCCGGGGACAUCACACCCGCUCAUUCCCCUACCUCAAUUUCAGUUUUGGACCCAACCCCACCCUACCCAGGGAUAUCAGAAUCAAUAGUCCCUCUGGGUCAGUUGGGCCUGUUCUUCCACUGGCUGAACAAGACGCUGCAUCCAGGUGGGGGUCAGACUAAAGGGCUUUGUCCUUGUGACAGCCCCCGUGACAGCCGGGAUGAAGAAGGGAGCAGGGAGGGUGGGCCUGCUCCACCACCCUGAUGGCCCAAGAGAGAUCCAGGGGAGGUCGAAAAGAGGAGCGGGGAAGGCUGGGCAUGCUAACUCUCCCUGUUAGCACUCAGAUGAUUCCAAUUUUGGCUUUUUUAACCUUCCUGCCUUUCUUCCUAUAUGAGGUUUUAGCAGUGAAAUACAUUUUUUUUAAAUUUCCAAAAAUUGCCUCCCGUUUUCUUCUAGACCGUGUUUCCUCCCUGCUCACCAAAAGGCUGGAAGCUUUGCCGUGGACUUUUCAGGGCGAGACGUUAAUGAUGGUGAUCUAGACUGGAUCUCACAUAAUUCUCUCCUAAUUCUCCCGUUCACAAGAAAUAAACAAACAUGAAAUCCCUGAACAUCAAAGCCGUUUCCUGUUAGAGACCCCAAACAACCCAUCAACUGGCCAGUAGAUGGCGCCAAAGGUUAGUCACUGCCUAUGGGCCCAGGGGCUCUAACCCGGUGCCUUCGCACACGUGCUCAUGGCCUUUCCAUACCUAGAUGGCCACCUGCUCUGUCUUGAGCCGGGUGGGGGACGGGGUGGUGGGCGUGGGGGGAGGAGGUGGAAAAGACAAAGCCUAAUUUUAAUUCAGCCCCAUGGGAAGGGGGAGGAGGCCUGUAGAGUGAAUUUGGCCUGAGGGGAUUUCUCCGCCAAACUUGGCAAGACACUUGUCGCCUGGAGAAGGGUCUUGCGGGAGGAACUGCUCUGAGGUUCCAGGCACGUUUGGGGAACAACUGAGUGUGGACAGAGAAGGGUCUGGGAAGGAAGACCAGGGCCAGACCAUAAAGUCCUCGUGUUGCUGCAGUCAUCUUCGUUCAGUGAAGGAAUGAAAACAGGCCAUGAAGAUGUUUCAUCUGAGGGUGAUCACUUCAUGGGAGGGCAUCGUUCCCGCUGCCUGUGGAGGCCGAAGGAAUGGAGGAGGGAGGCUGGAACAGAACCAGAACACAAUGCAGCAGCAUAUUCUUGCCCCCCUCCCCCUCCCCCUGCUGUCACCCUGUCCUGUUCUCCCUCCCUCUGCCUCUGCUUCUCUGCUACGCUCUUCUUCAACUCCAGGCCACCUAGUCAGGGCUGACAGUGAUGUCUCCCCCUUGAGACAGUCCAGGGUGCGGGGGGUUUGGGGGGGAGGUGACUGCAGCUGGCGUUCCAGGCCCUAGAGCACCGAGACCACCGAGGGCAGGUGCGGAGAUGGGGAGUCUGUGGGUCUCAGGCAACAGACAAGGGGUCCGGAGGUGGCACGAGCUGGGCAUCUGGGCCCCAGGCCUUGAAUGCCUGCACAGGUACUGCUGGCUUGGUGCCCCGGGGGCCCUGGGCAUUCCUGCCCUGGGAGGUGGGCAGGUGAGAACAGGAAUGAAUAUAGAACAGGUAAAUCCAGCAAGAACCGGCUGAAGGUGGCCAGGGCACGGGGGCUGAAGGGCUGGGGCAGGGUGGGACUCCGAGCAUGGAGAGAAAGGGCAUUUAAAAGGAAAAAUCCACCAGACUUGGCAGCAUUCAGAAUGUGGGGGCUGAGGGAUGAGUCAAAGAUGACUCACAAGGUUUGAAGGUGAAUCAAGGGAAAGUGACGGUGCUUCCAGGAAGAAGUUCGAGCCCACGCCCAGGGCUGCUGUUCUUUGGGGCUUGAAGAACUGGUCUGGACUGUCCCACAUGUCAUUUGCGUGUUUAUAGUCUGUCUCUCCUCCGCUAGAAUGUAAGCCCCUGAAGAUGCUGCCUGAGACUGUCCUGCCUUGCCUGGGGGGCUCAGAGCAGGCCAGGGGAGGCAGCCUGGGGCUUCUGCAGGAGGGAGAGUGAGACCCCGGGUGGGACAGGGAGGGGGUCACACUGCACCCCUGCCUAGGCACAGCCUCCUCCUGUCCCUCCAGGUUCCCAGCUCUUCGCUAGACUGGGACUGCAUCCUGGGGCAGCCCUGUGUCUGCCAAGCAGAUCCAGCUCCCUUCCUUCCCAUCCACCCCUCCCACCAUGUCCUUGCUCACGCCCCAGGGUCCUGUUGCUGGGUGCCCAUCCACUUGGAUGCACCCCAGACAGUUCAGCCCAACAUGGUGACACUGAACAGGUCACCUGCUGCUCUGGCCUGGGCCCCACGUUCCCCAGGGUGACUGCAGUGUUCCCCAUGCAGGCUCCUCCAGCUCUCCUGGACUGUUAGCUCGCCCUCCUUGGUUUCCCACAAGCCUGCCCCUUCUCCACCCAGCAGUUCUGCAGGUGCGGGCCUACUCAGCUCUCCCCAGGCCUGACCUCCAUGCGCACAAGGGUCAGAGUGGAGCACUGUCAGAACGGUGGGGCCCGGUGACAGUCUCCCAUGCCUCCUGUGCUCCUCGGGCCAUGUUCCGAGUCCCCUGGCACAGUGCAGUGUGGCAUCUGGCGCCUACCUCUUGCUUCGGCCCCAGUGGCCACCCUGCCCAUGCAGGCUGUGCACCCAUCUCACAGAAAAGGCUUUUCUGGCCUCCAUUUUCUUUCCUGCCUCACCUUCUCCCUGUUCCUUACGACUCCUCAUAUUCCUUCUAGAUUUCACUUUUGCAGAUGCCCUUCCCUGCCUCCACCCACCAGCAGCUAACACUGCUCUCCUCCUGUCUCAGGACCCUCCCAGUACUCCUCAGGUUACAAAUCCGUGCACUUGCAUGGCAUUGGCUUCAUGUUUCCACCAUGCAUGCAGUGACCUAAUUUUGCACCCACUGCAUCCCAGGGCCUGAACACGGGCUUUUCGUCAACAGAGAUAAAAUGGAUGGUGCUCAGCAAACAACAGGACACCAUUUCCCCUGUCAAAAUGGCCACAUUCUGCUGACAGCAAUGGGAGAGGAGGGCAAGGGAGUGUUUGUGGUGCCUCUUUCUGGUGACAGCAUGUGCAAGUUAACAGGGAAGUUACUAACCCCAUCUGGGCCUUCCAGGAAUGGCUGCCCAGCUGGGCCUCAAAGGAUGGGUCAAAACUGGCCAGGAGAAGAACAGUUUGGGUACCACAGUGUCCCCAGUUUUAUAGUUGGUCAGUGGAAAAUGGUUUGCUGUGUGGAAAUCCCCUUCAGGGCCAACUGUAAGUGGCCAGGUCACUCCACCAUGAGCUGGCCACAUCACUGCACCUCCCCUCGCUCCCAGAGCCUGUCCCUUCACUUCCUUUGGGACCCUGCUCUCAGCCCUCCCCUUCCUGCUGAAGUAGUGAGCCCAAACCCAUGAGACAGGUGCAAGUGCAGGACAGCGUCGUGGUGACCUGGCGACCGCCAGCGCAGGCCACCCUGUCUCCCUGCCCUCCAUUAAGAGAACAGCACAUCCUUAUACGCAACUAAUGAAUCAUCGAACUUUACAUCAAAAACCAGGGAUGUGCUGUAUGGUGACUAACAUAAUAAAAUUAAAAAAAAAAGAGAGAGAGAGAGAGAACAGCACAUCCAUCGCAUGCCAGGUGCUUCGGGCUUCCCUGGGGUCAGCUCAUGGCAUCCACCCCAUCCUUACCGUGAUCAUCACUACUGUAGAGAUGAGAAGACCAAAGCACAGAGAGGUUGAGCAGCUCGCUCAAAGUGACACAGCCACUAGGUGGCAGGGACAGGGCUCACAGUCCAGCUGCAGACCCGUGCUUUAACCAACACCAUCCUCUUCCAGGUCAACUGUGUCUCUUUCCAAAAUAGAAGCCACUGAGUUUUCCUUAUCAUUAUAACUCAAUUCUUUUUUUUUUUAAAGAUUUUAUUUAUUUAUUCUACAGAGAUAGAGACAGCCAGCGAGAGAGGGAACACAAGCAGGGGGAGUGGGAGAGGAAGAAGCAGGCUCCCAGCAGAGGAGCCUGAUGUGGGGCUCGAUCCCAUAACACCGGGAUCACGCCCUGAGCCGAAGGCAGACGCUUAACCGCUGUGCCACCCAGGCGCCCCUAUAACUCAAUUCUGAACAUUUCCUCUAGCUCUUUGCUAAACAUCAAUUCAUUUUUUUUUUAAGAUUUUACAAAUUUGACAGGGAACACAAGCAGGGGGAGCAGCCCAGGGCGAAGCAGACUCCCCACUGAGCAAGGAGCCCGAUGUGGGACUCAAUCCCAGUACCAGGAUCAUGACCUGAGCCAAAGGCAGACGCUUAACCAAACGAGCCACCUGGGUACCGCUAAACAUCAAUUGUUAAAAAACAGCUUUAUGAGGGGCGCCUGGGUGGCGCAGUCGUUAAGCGUCUGCCUUCGGCUCAGGGCGUGAUCCCGGCGUUCUGGGAUCGA